GUCGGGAUAGAGAGUGGGAUCAUUUUGCACUCAAGGAAUUGAGAAGAUCCCGUUGGUACCGCAGUUUCCAAGGAUUUUUGGGACAUGGCUGUUCACUCACAGUGAGAAAGAACAUCAAAGAACAGAAUUAAGACUUGGCAAGAAACCUGUCCACGACAAAAGGCAGACAAUGUAAGUCAAGCUCAGCUGAGAACAAAGGACUGGUGAUGCAGAACGGUGAGCUGGAUGUGGUGGUGCAUGCCUGUAAGUUCCAGAUACUCAGGAGGCUGAGGCAGGAGGAUGGAUGAGCACAGGAGUUCUGGGCUGUAGUGUGUGCUAUGCCGAUCAGGUGUCAGCAUAAGUUCCACAUCAAUAUGGUGACCACCUAGGAGCGGGGAUCACCAGGUUACCUAAGGAGGGGUGAACCGGCCCAGGUCAGAAAUGGAGCAGGUCAAAAACUCCCUGCUAGGCUGGGCGCUGUGGCUCACGCCUGUAAUCCCAGUACUUUGAGGCCAAGGCCGGCAGAUCACGAGGUCAAGAGAUCAAGACCAUCCUGGCCAACAUGGUGAAACCUUGUCUCUACUAAAAAUAUAAAAAUUAGCUAGGUGUGGUGGCAGGCGCCUGAAAUCCCAGCUACUGGGGAGGCCAAGACAGGAGAAUCGCUUGAACCCGGGAGAUGGAGGUUCCGCAAUGAGCUGAGAUCACGCCACUGCACUCCAGCCUGGGCCACAGAGCGAGACUUCGUCUCAAAAAAAAAAAAAAAAACCCUGCUGAUCAGUAGUGGUAUUGUGUCUGUGAAUACCCACUGCACUCCAGCCUGGGCAACAUAGUGAGACUCUGUCUCUAAAAAUAAAAAAUAAAAUAAAAAAGGAAAAAGGAAAAGAACUGUGAAAGCCCUUAGCCAUACAUAGCUAAGUUGUGUUUUCUAUUUUAAUUUCUCUUCUUGUAUGGUCCAUUGAUUAUUUUCUUUCAUGUGUCCCGUUCUCUUGUACCAUGCAGGUCUGGCUAUGGUGCAAGGUGACUUCUGAAGUCAGUUCCUUUAUUACUAUUUGCAAAAAGAGUGAUACUUUGUCAACCUGUAAUUUCCAAAUGAUUACUUCAAAUAAAGAUUUUAUGAAUUGCAUUGUUGAAGAGUCUUGGGCAGUGCUCUGCAAAAGGUCCCAGUUUUACUUAGUACUGGGAAAUUGUCUUCCUUCUGUUUGUUCUGUUCUGCAAGCUCUGCUCUAAGGCCAGCACCUCUUACUCAGCUGUCUUCAUGUUUGAUGUGAUCAGUGUUUUCUGUACUGUGGUGACUGGUGAGAGAUAUAACUUGUAUACUUUCACUUUUUCCACCUUGCACAAAAACUCCAUUGUAUUAUCUCUGUAACGUUAGUUUAAACCUUCUUGUUCGUAUCCUCACAGGGGUUUUGCUGUUAAGCCAUUUUAAUCUACUGUGAGGCCUGCAACAGUAUUUAUAGCAUUGUGUUGCAAAACAUCUCCUUAGGAAGAGAGAUGGUGAAUUCCUUAAGGUCUCCAACUGUAGCCCAAAUAUUUAGUCUAAGUCGGACAUAUAUUAGGUCCUCAAUAAAUGCAGUACUUAUUUGAAAAACAAUA